ACUGCUUCUUGGCCUUUUGGCUAAGAUCAAAUGUAGCAUCUGUUUUAUCAGUUUAAUAACUGCUACAUCCUCUACCCGAGGACAAUAUAGUAAAUGGAUUUUUGGAAUAGAGAGACAGAAUAGGAGCCUGCUCUGUCCACUCCAUGCAUGGACCUGGUACUGUAGUACUUGCAGGAAUGGUGCAAAAAAU
ensembl:snRNA U2 U2 spliceosomal RNA